GAUAACCGAAGAUCACACCGGGAUUCAGGGUGGGGUUGGUGAUUAGACGAACAUCACCACCACCGGGGGCCCAAGUGUCGUAGACGCCACCGAAGAACAUGGCCUUGAAGACCAGUAGCAGGCAUCCAACGCCGAGAAGAAUCAAGUGAUAACCAAUGAUGUUGGUCAUCUGGUUCUUGUCACGCCA
rfam:Synechococcus sp. RS9916 scf_1100013018508 genomic scaffold, whole genome shotgun sequence.